GAUGAACGCUAGCUACAGGCUUAACACAUGCAAGUCGAGGGGUAACGAGAGGAAAGCUUGCUUUCCUUGUUGACGACCGGCGCACGGGUGAGUAACGCGUAUCCAACCUGCCCCCAACUAGGGAAUAACCUUGCGAAAGUAAGACUAAUACCCUAUAAUUUCCUCAGAUGUCAUCUGACGAGGAAUAAAGAUUUAUCGGUCGUGGAUGGGGAUGCGGCUGAUUAGCUUGUUGGCGGGGUAACGGCCCACCAAGGCCACGAUCAGUAGGGGUUCUGAGAGGAAGGUCCCCCACAUUGGAACUGAGACACGGUCCAAACUCCUGCGGGAGGCAGCAGUGAGGAAUAUUGGUCAAUGGGCGGAAGCCUGAACCAGCCAAGUAGCGUGCAGGAUGACGGCCCUAUGGGUUGUAAACUGCUUUUAUACAGGAAUAAAGUUAGCCACGUGUGGUUAUUUGUAGGUACUGUAUGAAUAAGGACCGGCUAAUUCCGUGCCAGCAGCCGCCGUAA
rnacentral:rRNA from 1 species